UUUGUGAAGAGUUUGUCCUGGUGAAUUUUUUAAUUAAUUAAAUCAAUAAAACUAAGAUAAUUUACUACUAAUUUGUCAGUGGAAGGCAAAAAGUCAUCUAGAAGUAGCAAAAGUCUAUUUUCCUAUCGAUUUACAUCUUCCUGCGCUAUGGAGAACAUUCAAUAUAGCUUGCUUGACAAAGCGUGACUGAAACAGAGCUUUAAUUUGGAAGGGCAACCAUUUUAAUAAUGCUCUGAACGAUGAAUCACAGCCAGGAGUGUCAAUCGUGUGAAGAAAACUCAUUUUCAUUGGCAGUAGCCUUUUUCUUUCUUUCUCCAUAUGUAAUUCAGCAAGGUAGACUUUAUUGAGAUACUGUGCCAGAUUAAUCCAGGGGUUUGAUUGGAUUGCAUUUCCCUUGAACAGUUCAAUUGAAUCUGGCUUGUGAUCAAUUUACUUUUACAAGGACUUUUACUCCCACAUGUUGUAACUUGUUCCCGCUCCUCUGUGGAUUAACUGAACUCAAAGCUGCUAAUUUAUGGCGUUUAGUCCUGAUUGUAAUUGGUCGUUGUCUGGAACCUCAAGGUGCUGCAAAGAAUUAUGGGCAAUUAAUUUCCUUCACCAGAGCGUCCAAAGAUGCAGACUUCAGAGAAGAACUCAUUAAGGGUGGUGUCGAGCCUUCUGACUCAGACCGUGGGCUUUAAGUGGGACAACCCCAAACCCUCUCUCACUUGAAAGAGGCAGCGCAUUGCAGUGAAUGAGUGUUCAACAGAAGGUUUUGCAAAGGGAGAUAAAUUAUUUUCUCUGCAUUGACUUAUUUCUGAACUAUGGGGCACGUUUCAAAUUUAAACUGACCCAAUUGCUGAGAAUACUAUUCGAAAGGCGGACCUAGCUUGCUAACUUUUUCUUCAGCCAAAGGGACUCUCACUCACCCACUGUGGUUCAAUUAAGAAGAAAGAGGCCUGCAAAUCAGGUGCAUUUUUUCGCUCGCCUCUAACAGGAAAAGAUCUGACAGAAAAGCCUUCAUCUCUGAGUUCUCUGAGUCACACAGGGACCGGCCAGAUAACUCAGGAGAGAGAAAUCAAUGGAGAAAGCAGGAAAGAUCAAGCUUCAUUAAAAACGGGGCGAAGUGAGAAGCGGGGAGCCAGAAACGGCACUGGCCCACUUUCUCUGCAGAACCGCUCUCUCUUUGAUUCCUGCAACUCCCCAGCCUCCGCAGAUUACGCUCCUGGAUCUGAUUACCAGACUAUAUUCCAUAAGAUCUGAGAGCAAUUAGCAACAAAACAACUUUAGAUGCAGAGCAAAUCAGACCUGUAUUUUUUCUGCAAUUACAUGUUUAAAAAAAAAAAAAAACAUUUUAUGUGCAUUGAGUAUGGUACAGGUAUUUAAUAUGUCUGAUUAAUGAGGUCACCGAUACUACAAUAAUUAUAUGCUACGCUUCAUAAACCAGUUUAAAUGCUAUGUGAGUUUUGAGAUAUAUCUUGUGAAGAAGGUUUCUUGGGGCUAAUAAUGCAAACCAGUGAUGUUUUCUCUGUGGGAUUCUGGAGUUCUUUGUAUUGCAAAUUAUUUUCCGGCUUCAUUAAAUUUUACGACAGAUGC